rnacentral:sRNA from 1 species
UGAUUUUACGUAUCUCCAGGUUUCAGC